rnacentral:rRNA from 1 species
UGGUGGGUAGUUUGACUGGGGCGGUCUCCUCCUAAAGAGUAACGGAGGAGCACGAAGGUUGGCUAAUCCUGGUCGGACAUCAGGAGGUUAGUGCAAUGGCAUAAGCCAGCUUGACUGCGAGCGUGACGGCGCGAGCAGGUGCGAAAGCAGGUCAUAGUGAUCCGGUGGUUCUGAAUGGAAGGGCCAUCGCUCAACGGAUAAAAGGUACUCCGGGGAUAACAGGCUGAUACCGCCCAAGAGUUCAUAUCGACGGCGGUGUUUGGCACCUCGAUGUCGGCUCAUCACAUCCUGGGGCUGAAGUAGGUCCCAAGGGUAUGGCUGUUCGCCAUUUAAAGUGGUACGCGAGCUGGGUUUAGAACGUCGUGAGACAGUUCGGUCCCUAUCUGCCGUGGGCGCUGGAGAACUGAGGGGGGCUGCUCCUAGUACGAGAGGACCGGAGUGGACGCAUCACUGGUGUUCGGGUUGUCAUGCCAAUGGCACUGCCCGGUAGCUAAAUGCGGAAGAGAUAAGUGCUGAAAGCAUCUAAGCACGAAACUUGCCCCGAGAUGAGUUCUCCCUGACUCCUUGAG